ACACAUGCAAGUCGAACGCGAAAGCCCGCAAGGGUAAGUAGAGUGGCGCACGGGUGAGUAACACGUGGACAACCUGCCUUCGAGUGGGGAAUAACCUUCCGAAAGGAGGGCUAAUACCGCAUAACACUUCGGAACACAAGUUCUGGAGUUGAAAAGAGCAAUUUGCUCGAAGAGGGGUCCGCGCCUGAUUAGCUAGUUGGUGAGGUAACGGCUCACCAAGGCUUCGAUCAGUAGCCGUCCUGAGAGGGAGCACGGCCACACUGGAACUGAGACACGGUCCAGACUCCUACGGGAGGCAGCAGUGGGGAAUUUUUGGCAAUGGGCGAAAGCCUGACCAAGCAACGCCGCGUGGGUGAUGAAGUAUCUUGGUACGUAAAACCCUUUCGGCAGGGACGAACCUAAUGACGGUACCUGCGGAAGAAGCCCCGGCUAACUCCGUGCCAGCAGCCGCGGUAAUACGGGGGGGGCAAGCGUUGUUCGGAAUUACUGGGCGUAAAGGGCGCGUAGGCGGUUGGAUAAGUCAGCUGUGAAAACCACGGGCUUAACUCGUGGCCUGCAGUUGAGACUGUCUGGCUUGAGUGUGGGAGAGGAGAGUGGAAUUCCUGGUGUAGCGGUGAAAUGCGUAGAUAUCAGGAGGAACACCGGUGGCGAAGGCGGCUCUCUGGACCACAACUGACGCUGAGGCGCGAAAGCUAGGGGAGCAAACAGGAUUAGAUACCCUGGUAGUCCUAGCUGUAAACGAUGGAUACUUGCUGUGGGGGGGUGUUAAAUCCCCCUGUGGCGGAGCUAACGCAUUAAGUAUCCCGCCUG
rnacentral:rRNA from 1 species